rnacentral:rRNA from 1 species
CCUACGGGUGGCAGCAGUGAGGAAUAUUGGUCAAUGGACGAGAGUCUGAACCAGCCAAGUAGCGUGAAGGAUGACUGCCCUAUGGGUUGUAAACUUCUUUUAUAUGGGAAUAAAAUGUUCCACGUGUGGGAUUUUGUAUGUACCAUAUGAAUAAGGAUCGGCUAACUCCGUGCCAGCAGCCGCGGUAAUACGGAGGAUCCGAGCGUUAUCUGGAUUUAUUGGGUUUAAAGGGAGCGUAGGUGGAUUGUUAAGUCAGUUGUGAAAGUUUGCGGCUCAACCGUAAAAUUGCAGUUGAAACUGGCAGUCUUGAGUACAGUAGAGGUGGGCGGAAUUCGUGGUGUAGCGGUGAAAUGCUUAGAUAUCACGAAGAACUCCGAGUGCGAAGGCAGUUCACUGGACUGCAACUGACACUGAGGCUCGAAAGUGUGGGUAUCAAACAGGAUUAGAUACCCCAGUAGUC